rnacentral:rRNA from 1 species
GACGAACGCUGGCGGCGUGCUUAACACAUGCAAGUCGAACGGAAAGGCCCUGCUUUUGUGGGGUGCUCGAGUGGCGAACGGGUGAGUAACACGUGAGUAACCUGCCCUUGACUUUGGGAUAACUUCAGGAAACUGGGGCUAAUACCGGAUAGGAGCUCCUGCUGCAUGGUGGGGGUUGGAAAGUUUCGGCGGUUGGGGAUGGACUCGCGGCUUAUCCGCUUGUUGGUGGGGUAGUGGCUUACCAAGGCUUUGACGGGUAGCCGGCCUGAGAGGGUGACCGGCCACAUUGGGACUGAGAGACGGCCCAGACUCCUACGGGAGGCAGCAGUGGGGAACAUUGCACAAUGGGCGGAAGCCUGAUGCAGCAACGCCGCGUGCGGGAUGACGGCCUUCGGGUUGUAAACCGCUUUCGCCUGUGACGAAGCGUGAGUGACGGUAAUGGGUAAAGAAGCACCGGCUAACUACGUG